rnacentral:misc_RNA from 1 species
CGUAGAAGAGAGCGUGAGGAGAAUGCUCGACUUGCUAAAGGUCAGAUUGGAGUCACUGAUAACAAACUUGCUCAGGAGUUGAAGCAAGAGGGAUCUUCACUUGUGGAAAGUCCUGGAGGUGAAGAUUCAUCAUCAAAUAUGGAUGAAUCAAUAGAUCCAGAUGGAGAUGCUGAGGUGGAAGGAAAGGGACCGGAGGUGAAAGUAGAGGAUCCUGAGCAGCGAUACGGCUCUGUCAAAGAGAAGCAUGAGGCAGAGGAGGAUGGGGAUGAUGAGGAAGAGGAGGAAGAAGAGGAAGAGAAUGAGAUGGAGAUUCAAAAGAAAGGGAAGGUUGAAACAUCAGAGCAAUCAGAGUUUGCUGAUAGAUCAGGAGAGGAGCCCAAUCAACAAUCUCAACCUGGACUAGCAGAGAAUGCAGGUGCGGUGGGCCAAACACAUCCUGCGAAGGGACAUGCUAUAGGGCAGCAUGAGGAAGUAACUCCAACGGUUGAGCAAAAUAAGAAUAAGGAAUCACAAGAAAAACACAAGNNNNNNNNNNNNUUUGAGAAGUUUGAUUCUGAAAAUCCAAUGCUUCUGAGUCUGUGCAGAACUCUGUUUCCUGACAACCAUAAAUCUAUAUGGACUGGGCCUCACUCACUGUUUCAGCGUGAAGGUUCUACUCGUGGAAGUUCUAUUCAUGCUGCCAUUGAAACUUUGAUGUAGGUAGUUUUUGAUAACUUAUCAUUGCCCUACAAAGGAUCUGAAGCUAUCUUAUGGCUGUCUAUAUCAAAUAUAACGUUCCAGGGUGGCGUGUUUGAUAUACAUGCUUAGAUACAAAUGGAAUUUCUGGUAGUUAGCGGUACUUGUCUAACUGAGGAUAAUCUGCUCUGGUAAAGUUAGGGUGGAAUGACAUACCUCAAGAUCGACAAAAUGACCUUGAUUUACAAUCUGAGUCUGCAUGUUUUAGUUAUCUUUUGGUGAUGUGGGAAGAUGCAAUGGUAUUUCUUAUUGUGAAAAUGAAAACACAUUCAUAUUAGAAGCUGUAAUGACUUCAUGUUGAGCAAGGAUUCUUAUAGGG